UGAAGUGGAGGUGUGAAGCUGAGUGGCACCACCAGACAGCCGUGGGUGAAGGCAGAGACGACCUACCUGAAACUGCAAGCAAACAAUUACAGAAGCCAGAACAGCAGGGUGAAAAAUUAAACAGCAGUUUUUACCCAAGAUGAUUGCUACCAUGCUUCAGCAGAAUUCUCUCCAGGUCCAUCCAUGCUGCUGCAAAUGAAAACAACAUUCAACAAACUUGCGAAACCAUCUCCCAAGAUCCUGCAUUCACUGUAUUCCAGUAUUCCAUCCCUGGGAACUGCUGUCAAGGCAGAAGCAAACGCAGUCCAACAGGAUGAGAUUUUUUUCAUCUAAAACUAAUCUCAUAGAUAUGAGAUGAUAGAAAAAGCAGUUGGAAA